GACAGAGGCCCCAAGCGUUAGGCGGAAUCACUGGGCUUAAAGCGUGUGUAGGCGGAUCGUUAAGUGUCUUGUGAAAUCCCACGGCUCACCCGUGGAACUGCUGGGCAUACUGGCGAUCUUGGGCCAACUAGGGGCAGCCGGAACAAGCGGUGGAGCGGUGAAAUGCGUAGAUAUCGCUUGGAACGCCGAAGGUGAAAACAGGCUGCUGGGGUUGCGCCGACGCUGAGACACGAAAGCCAGGGGAGCAAACGGG
rnacentral:rRNA from 2 species